GAGGUGGCCAACAAUUCAUGGGUGGACAACACCACAGAUUCAAGAAGCCUUUAGGGUGCUCGAGCAUGUACAUGUUAAUGACACCUUCAUUGACCUGAAGGUGUAUAAGCUUCAGUUGUUGUCCAAUCCUGACCAUGGACCACCCAACCCUGUCAUGACUCAUCCUCUUACUGCUCGUCGUGAAUCUCCUGUCAGACCGCCAUCACCCAAAUCCCAUGGUGUUGGUCCAAUUGUUUCAAGGCAGGUAACCCCAGAAGAAACAUAUAGAACAGGAAGAGAUGAUUUUGUACGAGUAAUCGAGCUACUUUAAGCUCAACAAUAAAUAAGUUUAAGUUUAUAGGAGUCUAUGUUUACUAUGAAUAAACAAAUGACUAAUGUUGAAGAGUCAUUGUCCACCCUAACAGUUAUGGUUAAAAGAUUAUAAGAAACCAAAAUUGAUAAAGAGCAAGUAAGUCGCCGAAAGAGUAAGUCCACCGAUUGGAAAAGGAAGAGGAGCAGAAUUAGUGAGAAUUUACCUAUACAUAUCGAACAUACAGAAGAGCUCAGAGCCCAAGAGACAAUAAGCGAUGAAUGAGAUGUUGUUGUUACUCAGGAUGAGACAUCAGAAAAAGAGCUCGCUGAAGUUGUUACUCAGGACCUUUUUGGGUCUUUGUCACAUACGGUUUGUCUUGCUGUAGAUACUGAAGCCCAAGAGGGUCAAGAUCAAAUAAAUUAUGCAUAAGACAUUAUUAUAACGGGGGACGAGACACUACCGGAAGACCCUGAACAAGUCGAACAACAAAUCAUGUUCUUGAUAUUGUGUCAUUUACGAUAAAUAGCUCAUUUUAUAUUGUUCCCCGUUAUUUUAUGAUAAUAUGCUUCAAAACUUUUGUUCUUUUGUAGAAUCCUUUUGCUGCACCAGUUAUAGAUACGGAAGACCCAAAGGACCAACAAUCGAAAAUAAAUUUAAAACUACCAUUGUGUGACGAUCCUCAUGUAGUAAUGGUGACAGAUGUACUGUCAUUUUAGGCAGAGGCAACUCUGUGUCAAGCCAAAGAAAAUCUACGAGAUACUUGUGAACAUAUUGCAAUGACGCCGUUGGUUUAGGUACCUCUAUAGUCAUCAAGGGACUGCAAGGCAACUUGAUAGUCAUCACCAACCAGAGCACCAGUUCCUAUGUUGAGAUCCAUGCGAUAGUACCUCGUACUGCGCCAUCUUACAUAAAUUAUCCUGGUAGAUCAUUAGUACCACGUGAGAUGCAGGAUGUAAUCGAUGAUUGCAUUGCUACAUACAAGGGUGUUUUGGGAGGGCAAUUGACCGAGCUGGCCUCGAGAAUGUAUUGUUAAACGGGUGGUUUUACAAAAAACAUGUUGAUGUUUUUGAUGACAUAUUGCGUGAAAGAAUUGUCAGGUCACCUGAAUUAUACAGGUCAUGCAUCUUUGUAACAUCACUAUAUUGGGAAAUUGGAUGGUGCAGCUUUUGUGAAACACAUCACGGAGGAAAGUAUAAAGGAAGCACAAGUUAUAUUAUUACCUACAAUUCAUAACGGUCAUUGGACUUUGUUGGUGAGAGAGCUAAAAUUGAGAACAUGGAAAUUGUACGACUCUUUGCCCAACAGUGUGCAUAAGGAUGUUGCCCGCUAAGUUGUGAAACUUUUUGCAAAGGAUGCUGCAAAGGCUUUUCCUAGAGCCAAACCUGAGAAAUGGGGACUUACACUUGCUAAGAGUGUACCAACGCAAAACAAUAGUAUUUAUUGUGGUAUGUUCAUAUGCAACUUCAUGGAAACUUUGGUGUUGGCAAAGCACAAGAGACUGAUUGGAGCUGAAUUUGUCUACGCCUUGUGUAUAUGAUUCAAGAAUAAAAUUGAUUAAAAAAUAUGCUUAUGUACAUGUUCUAAUUUGUGUUUUUAGUUGUCUAUUUUGGCAAUUCUGCAGUAAAUUAAUA